AGGAUAAACGCUGGCGGCGUGCCUAACACAUGCAAGUCGAACGUCUCUUUCUUCGGGAAGAGGAGUGGCGGACGGGUGAGGAACACGUGGGAACCUGCCCUUUAGUGAGGAAUACCGGCGAGAAAUCGCCGACAAGACCGCAUAGCCCUCUUUGAUGAGAGUCAAAGAAGGAAAGCUUCGCAAGAGGCGCUAGAGGAGGGGCCUGCGUCCGAUUAGCUAGUUGGUGGGGUAAGAGCCUACCAAGGCGUCGAUCGGUAGCUGGUCUGAGAGGACGAUCAGCCACACUGGGAUUGAGAACGGCCCAGACUCCUACGGGGGGCAGCAGUGAGGAAUUUUCGGCAAUGGGGGAAACCCUGACCGAGCAACGCCGCGUGCAGGAAGACGGCCUUCGGGUUGUAAACUGCUUUUCUCGGGGAAGAGAACGGACGGUACCCGGAGGAAUCAGCCCCGGCUAACUACGUGCCAGCAGCCGC
rnacentral:rRNA from 1 species